rnacentral:rRNA from 1 species
UACGGAGGGUGCGAGCGUUAAUCGGAAUUACUGGGCGUAAAGGGUGCGUAGGUGGUUAAUUAAGUUAUCUGUGAAAUCCCUGGGCUCAACCUGGGCAGGUCAGAUAAAACUGUUUAACUCGAGUAUAGGAGAGGGUAGUGGAAUUUCCGGUGUAGCGGUGAAAUGCGUAGAGAUCGGAAGGAACACCAGUGGCGAAGGCGGCUACCUGGCCUGAUACUGACACUGAGGCACGAAAGCGUGGGGAGCAAACAGG